rnacentral:rRNA from 1 species
UACGUAGGGGGCAAGCGUUGUCCGGAAUCAUUGGGCGUAAAGCGCGUGUAGGCGGCUCGGUAAGUCUGCUGUGAAAGUCCAGGGCUCAACCCUGGGAUGCCGGUGGAUACUGUCGAGCUCGAGUCCGGAAGAGGCGGGUGGAAUUCCUGGUGUAGCGGUGAAAUGCGCAGAUAUCAGGAGGAACACCAAUGGCGAAGGCAGCUCGCUGGGACGUGACUGACGCUGAGACGCGAAAGCGUGGGUAGCAAACAGG